rnacentral:rRNA from 1 species
AACGUAGGACGCAAGCGUUAUCCGGAGUUACUGGGCGUAAAGCGCGGGCAGGCGGUUCUGCCAGUCUGGUGUGAAAUCUCCCGGCUCAACCGGGAGCAGCCACUGGAAACUACAGAACUGGAGUCUGACAGAGGUCGGCGGAAUUCCGGGUGGAGUGGUGAAAUGCGUAGAGAUCCGGAGGAACACCAGAGGCGAAGGCGGCCGACUGGGUCAGUACUGACGCUGAGCCGCGAAAGCCAGGGGAGCGAACGGG